CAAUGGGGGGUACGAGAGGGCCGCUACCACGCGAGUGGAUGCCAAUCCCAAAAACCUCUCUCAGUUCGGACUGGAGUCUGCAACCCGACUCCACGAAGCUGGAUUCGCUAGUAAUCGCGCAUCAGCCACGGCGCGGUGAAUACGUUCCCGGGCCUUGUACACACCGCCCGUCAAGCCAUGGGAGCCGGGGGUACCUGAAGUGCGUAACCGCGAGGAGCGCCCUAGGGUAAAACUGGUGACUGGGGCUAAGUCGUAACAAGGUAGC
rnacentral:rRNA from 1 species